rnacentral:rRNA from 1 species
UGGCGCACGGGUGAGUAACACGUAGGUAAUCUACCUUUUGAGUGGGGAAUAACUUAGGGAAACUUAAGCUAAUACCGCAUAAUGCAGCAGUAUCUAUGAUGCAGUUGUUAAAGGAGCAAUCCGCUUAAAGAGGAGCCUGCGGCAGAUUAGCUAGUUGGUAAGGUAAUGGCUUACCAAGGCGACGAUCUGUAUCCGACCUGAGAGGGUGGUCGGACACACUGACACUGAAUAACGGGUCAGACUCCUACGGGAGGCAGCAGUCGGGAAUUUUGGGCAAUGGGCGAAAGCCUGACCCAGCAACGCCGCGUGAAGGAUGAAGUCUUUCGGGAUGUAAACUUCGUAAGAAUAGGAAGAAUAAAUGACGGUACUAUUUGUAAGGUCCGGCUAACUACGUGCCAGCAGCCGCGGUAAUAC